CUCAUUCCAGCCCAUUAAAUAUUAUCAUUUGGGCCCAAUAAAUUAAAGCGGGCCUAAUCAACGACGGCCCACAUCCACAUCAUAUAAAAUAUCGGUUCGAAAUUUGAUUUCAAAUCACAAUCCAUUCAAAAUUCGAUUUUUGAAUUUCGAAUUUCGAACUCCCAACCAAUUCCCAAAAUAUCAUCCAACAACCCAUUCAAAGUUCGAUUUCGAAUUUUGAAUUCCCUAAUAAAUUCCCAAAAUAUCAUCUAACAAUCCAUUCAAAAUUCGAUUUCGAGUUUUGACCCAACAACCCAUUCGAAAUUCGACUUCGAAUUUCGAAUUUCGAAUUUUGAAUUCCCAACCAAUUCUCAAAACAUCCUCCAAUAACCCAUUCGAAAUUCGAUUUCGAAUUUCGAAUUCCCAACCAAUUCCCAAAAUAUCAUCCAACAACCCAUUCGAAAUUCGAUUUCGAAUUUCGAACUUCCAACCAAUUCCCAAAACAUCCUCCAACAACCCAUUCGAAAUUCGAUUUCGAAUUUCGAACUCCCAACCAAUUCCCAAAACAUCAUCCAAUAACCCAUUCAAAAUUCGAUUUCGAAUUUUGAAUUCACUAACCAAUUCCCAAAAUAUCAUGCAACAACUCAUUCGAAAUUCGAUUUCGAAUUUCGAAUUCCCAACCAAUUCCCAAAACAUUCUCCAACAACCAAUUCAAGAUUUGAUUUCAAAUUUCGAAUCAAUCCUCAAAAUACCCUCCAACCAUCCAACAACCCAUUCAAAAUUCGAUUUCGAAUUUUAAAUUUUCAACCAAUCCCAAAUAUCUUUCAACCAACCACAACAACCUAUUCAAAAUUCAAUUUUGAAUUUCGAAUCCCUCAAAAUAUCUCUCACCACCCCUCCCAUUAUAAAUACGAGAAUCGAGAUCAAUACGGGGGACGAUACGAUU
rnacentral:lncRNA from 1 species